rnacentral:rRNA from 1 species
AGCUAGACCCGGCAAGGGACUACGCAGGCGGCCUACCGGACGUAGAUCGAUGAUUGGGGUG